UACAGAGGGUGCAAGCGUUGUUCGGAAUUAUUCGGCGUAAAGCGCGUGUAGGCGGCUUUGCAAGUCGGGUGUGAAAGCCCUCAGCUCAACUGAGGAAGUGCGCCCGAAACUGCAGAGCUUGAGUACCGGAGAGGAUGGUGGAAUUCCCCAAGUAGAGGUGAAAUUCGUAGAUAUGGGGAGGAACACCGGUGGCGAAGGCGACCAUCUGGACGGAUACUGACGCUGAGACGCGAAAGCGUGGGUAGCAAACAGG
rnacentral:rRNA from 1 species